GGGUCAGUAGGUUGGUCGUGCCACCGGUACGUACUGGUCUCACUGAUUCCUCCUUCCUGAAGAACCGUAAUGCCAUUAAUUUGGUGGUGCGGGGAAACAGGACUGUUACUUUGAAAAAAUUAGAGUGUUUAAAGCAAACUAACGCUUGAAUACAUUAGCAUGGAAUAAUGAAAUAGGACGAUCGAUCCUAUUUUGUUGGUUUCUAGGAUUGACGUA
rnacentral:rRNA from 1 species